rnacentral:rRNA from 1 species
AACGAACGCUGGCGGCAUGCUUAACACAUGCAAGUCGAACGAGCUGGGGGCUUCGGUCCCCGAUGGUAGUGGGGCGCGGGCGAGUAAGUCGUGGGAAGAUGCCCUUUAGUACGGAAUAACAUAGGUAAAGUUUGGCGAAUACCGUAUAGGCUCUUCUGGUGAAAGAUUUAUCGCUAUAGGAUUAGCCCGCGUUUGAUUAGGUAGUUGGUGAGGUAGUGGCACACCAAGCUGAUGAUCAGUAGCUGGUAUGAGAGGAUGAGCGGCCACACCGGCACUGAGACACGGUCCAGACUCCUACGGGAGGCAGCAGUGGGGAAUAUUGCACAAUGGGGGGAACCCUGAUCCAGCCAUGCCGCGUGAGUGAAGAAGGCCUUCGAGUUGUAAAGCUCUAUCAACUGUGACGAUGAUGACGGUACCCGUAUAAGAAGCCCCGGCUAACUACGUG